rnacentral:rRNA from 1 species
AUGCACGGGCUCCGCAUCAUCCACCGCGACAUCAAGCCGGGGAACAUCCUCGUCGGCGCAGACGGCAUCAGCACCGUCAAGAUCUGCGACCUAGGGCUCGCGGUGUCCAUGGCAGAGCCCGUACCGUACGGCCAGCACGGCACACGCCGAUACAUGGCACCGGAGAUGCUCCUCGGCAAGACCGACUACGACGCCACGGUUGACAUGUGGUCCCUCGGCUGCGUCAUGGCCGAGCUCCUCUCUGGGAAGCCGCUCUUCGACGGGGACGACGACGCUCAACAGCUCCUCGCCAUCUUUCGCGUUCUCGGCGUGCCAUUGUUCAUGAUCUGGCCAGCCUACGAGUCGUUGCCGCUCGCUGGGAAGCUGGUGACGCCGCCGCAUGUCAUUUCCCGCAACAAGCUCCGUGAGCACUUUCCCGAGGACUACCUCUCCAAAGAAGGUUUCGAAGUCCUCAAGGGGCUCUUCUCGUGCAACAUCAACAAGAGGUUGUCGGCCACCACCGCGCUCAGGCGACCAUGGUUCGCCAACGCCCUCGAUGCUUCAGGCUGA